rnacentral:rRNA from 1 species
UACGGAGGGUGCAAGCGUUAAUCGGAAUUACUGGGCGUAAAGCGUGCGCAGGCGGUUUGUUAAGUCCGUUGUGAAAGCCCCGAGCUCAACUUGGGAAUUGCAGUGGAUACUGGCAGGCUGGAGUACGGUAGAGGAAGGUGGAAUUCCCGGUGUAGCAGUGAAAUUCGUAGAUAUUCGCAAGAACACCAGUGGCGAAGGCGGCUCACUGGCCCGGAACUGACGCUGAGACGCGAAAGCGUGGGGAGCAAACAGG